rnacentral:rRNA from 1 species
GAUGAACGCUGGCGGCGUGCCUAAUACAUGCAAGUCGAACGCUGGAACUCUAGCUUGCUAGCUUGAAGGAGUGGCGAACGGGUGAGUAAUACAUAAGCAACCUACCCACGAAGACUGGGAUAAUCUCUGGAAACGGGGACUAAUACCGGAUAGGUAAUCGGAAGGCAUCUUCUGAUUAUUAAAGGUUAAAAACACUGGUGGAUGGGCUUAUGGCGCAUUAGUUAGUUGGUGAGGUAACGGCCCACCAAGACGAUGAUGCGUAGCCGGCCUGAGAGGGUGAACGGCCACAUUGGGACUGAGACACGGCCCAGACUCCUACGGGAGGCAGCAGUAGGGAAUGUUCGGCAAUGGGGGAAACCCUGACCGAGCAACGCCGCGUGAGUGAUGACGGCCUUCGGGUUGUAAAGCUCUGUUGUAAGGGAAGAACGGUAGAUAGAGAAUAUCUAAAUGACGGUACCUUACCAGAAAGCCACGGCUAACUACGUG